ACAUUGACUGCCAUCUUGUUUGCCUCGGUAUUUUUAUGUUUACGUUUGUUUAUGUUUCACAUUUACAUUGCUUGUAUUUUCCAUUGCAGAUGGGAAACAUAGUUGGACCGAACUAGGAGCUGCAGCUGACAUUGACUGCCAUCUUGUUUGCCUCGGUAUCUUCGAUUACCACGGUGAAAGUUAACAACGAGGUGCAUCUUCAAGGUCAUGAAGAAGCAAUGAGCCGCAAAACAGACGACGUUCCCUUCUGAAAUUCGAACGUUGUCGCUCGGAGCCGUGAUAUCGAGUCUUCUCGUUUUAUCUUCCUCGAGAAACGCUCACCGCGUUAAGAAUAUUUGGUUCAUUACGUCAGGUUGUACGAUAAGGACGCGAGAGAAAGGAAGAAAGCGAGAAAUUAAAGAUCGGCUGUGUAAAGAAAAGCAAAGAGUCGCGACGAAGGACAGUAAUUUAUGGGUCGUCGUGUGCCUACGCAAAAAUGUCCUGCUGGCUGGACGUACUUGAUCCGAAUGAAGUACCGCGACAUUUAACGGUACGAGGGGCGAAAACAAAUGCUUUCUUGUAUUUCGUAAGCCACGUGACCUUAAGCCUUUCGCUAGCGCCGAUUGAGACGAACCAGUAAAGGUAUUUGCCAACUUGUUACAUCGAUUCGCUCGUUUAUCAUUCCCAAUGACGAACACCUCUUUAAUU